ACGAACGCUGGCGGCGUGGAUAAGACAUGCAAGUCGAACGGGAGAAUUGCUAGCUUGCUAAUAAUUCUCUAGUGGCGCACGGGUGAGUAACACGUGAGUAACCUGCCUCUUAGUGGGGGAUAGCCCUGGGAAACCGGGAUUAAUACCGCAUACGAUUGAAAGAUCAAAGCAGCAAUGCGCUAGGAGAUGGGCUCGCGGCCUAUUAGUUAGUUGGUGAGGUAACGGCUCACCAAGGCGAUGACGGGUAGCCGGUCUGAGAGGAUGUCCGGCCACACUGGAACUGAGACACGGUCCAGACACCUACGGGUGGCAGCAGUCGAGAAUCAUUCACAAUGGGGGCAACCCUGAUGGUGCGACGCCGCGUGGGGGAAUGAAGGUCUUCGGAUUGUAAACCCCUGUCAUGUGGGAGCAAAUUAAAAAGAUAGUACCACAAGAGGAAGAGACGGCUAACUCUGUGCCAGCAGCCGCGGUAAUACAGAGGUCUCAAGCGUUGUUCGGAAUCACUGGGCGUAAAGCGUGCGUAGGCUGUUUCGUAAGUCGUGUGUGAAAGGCAGGGGCUCAACCCCUGGAUUGCACAUGAUACUGCGAGACUAGAGUAAUGGAGGGGGAACCGGAAUUCUCGGUGUAGCAGUGAAAUGCGUAGAUAUCGAGAGGAACACUCGUGGCGAAGGCGGGUUCCUGGACAUUAACUGACGCUGAGGCACGAAGGCCAGGGGAGCGAAAGGGAUUAGAUACCCCUGUAGUCCUGGCAGUAAACGGUGCACGCUUGGUGUGCGGGGAAUCGACCCCCUGCGUGCCGGAGCUAACGCGUUAAGCGUGCCGCCUGGGGAGUACGGUCGCAAGAUUAAAACUCAAAGAAAUUGACGGGGACCCGCACAAGCGGUGGAGUAUGUGGCUUAAUUCGAUGCAACGCGAAGAACCUUACCUGGGCUUGACAUGUAAUGGACAACAUGUGAAAGCAUGCGACUCUUCGGAGGCGUUACACAGGUGCUGCAUGGCCGUCGUCAGCUCGUGUCGUGAGAUGUUUGGUUAAGUCCAGCAACGAGCGCAACCCCUGUUGCCAGUUACCAGCACGUCAAGGUGGGGACUCUGGCGAGACUGCCCAGAUCAACUGGGAGGAAGGUGGGGACGACGUCAGGUCAGUAUGGCCCUUAUGCCCAGGGCUGCACACGUACUACAAUGCCCAGUACAGAGGGGGCCGAAGCCGCGAGGCGGAGGAAAUCCUGAAAACUGGGCCCAGUUCGGACUGUAGGCUGCAACCCGCCUACACGAAGCCGGAAUCGCUAGUAAUGGCGCAUCAGCUACGGCGCCGUGAAUACGUUCCCGGGUCUUGUACACACCGCCCGUCACAUCAUGGAAGCCGGUCGCACCCGAAGUAUCUGAAGCCAACCGCAAGGAGGCAGGGUCCUAAGGUGAGACUGGUAACUGGGAUG
rnacentral:rRNA from 1 species